GGAAUAUUGGGCAAUGGGCGAAAGCCUGACCCAGCAACGCCGCGUGAAGGAAGAAGGUCUUCGGAUUGUAAACUUCUUUUAUGAGGGACGAAGGACGUGACGGUACCUCAUGAAUAAGCCACGGCUAACUACGUGCCAGCAGCCGCGGUAAUACGUAGGUGGCAAGCGUUAUCCGGAUUUACUGGGUGUAAAGGGCGCGUAGGCGGGGAUGCAAGUCAGAUGUGAAAUCUAUGGGCUUAACUCAUAAACUGCAUUUGAAACUGUAUCUCUUGAGUGCUGGAGAGGUAGACGGAAUUCCUUGUGUAGCGGUGAAAUGCGUAGAUAUAAGGAAGAACACCAGUGGCGAAGGCGGUCUACUGGACAGUAACUGACGCUGAGGCGCGAAAGCGUGGGGAGCAAACA
rnacentral:rRNA from 1 species